AUUCCUACGGGAGGCAGCAGUGGGGAAUCUUGCGCAAUGGGCGAAAGCCUGACGCAGCAACGCCGCGUGCGGGAUGAAGGCCUUCGGGUUGUAAACCGCUUUUACCAGGAAGGAAAAUGACAGUACCUGGAGAAUAAGGUGCGGCCAACUACGUGCCAGCAGCCGCGGUGACACGUAGGCACCAAGCGUUGUCCGGAUUUAUUGGGCGUAAAGAGCUCGUAGGCGGUUCAGUAAGUCGGGUGUGAAAACUCUGGGCUUAACCCAGAGACGCCACCCGAUACUGCUGUGACUUGAGUCCGGUAGGGGAGUGGGGAAUUCCUGGUGUAGCGGUGAAAUGCGCAGAUAUUAGGAGGAACACCAGUGGCGAAGGCGCCGCUCUGGGCCGUAACUGACGCUGAGGAGCGAAAGCGUGGGUAGCAAACAGGAUUAGAUACCCUGGUAGUCCACGCCGUAAACGUUGGGCACUAGGUGUGGGUCUCAACCAACGAGAUCCGCGCCGUCGCUAACGCAUUAAGUGCCCCGCCUGGGGAGUACGGUCGCAAGGCUAAAACUCAAAGGAAUUGACGGAAU
rnacentral:rRNA from 1 species